UACGUAGGGCGCAAGCGUUAUCCGGAAUUAUUGGGCGUAAAGAGCUCGUAGGCGGUUUGUCGCGUCUGCCGUGAAAGUCCGGGGCUCAACUCCGGAUCUGCGGUGGGUACGGGCAGACUAGAGUGAUGUAGGGGAGACUGGAAUUCCUGGUGUAGCGGUGAAAUGCGCAGAUAUCAGGAGGAACACCGAUGGCGAAGGCAGGAUCGUCUGGGCAUUAACUGACGCUGAGGAGCGAAAGCAUGGGGAGCGAACAG
rnacentral:rRNA from 1 species